rfam:Chryseobacterium gallinarum strain DSM 27622, complete genome.
ACAGGGGAAGCCGAAAACCUGAAUCCAGAGUAGGCA